GGACUACUGGGGUUUCUAAUCCUGUUCGCUACCCACGCUUUCGCUUCUCAGCGUCAGUUACUGCCCAGAGACCCGCCUUCGCCACCGGUGUUCCUCCUGAUAUCUGCGCAUUUCACCGCUACACCAGGAAUUCCAGUCUCCCCUGCAGUACUCUAGUCCGCCCGUAUCGCCCGCAAGCUCACAGUUGAGCUGUGAGUUUUCACGAGCGACGCGACGGACCGCCUACAAGCUCUUUACGCCCAGUAAUUCCGGACAACGCUCGCACCCUACGUAUUACCGCGGCUGCUGGCAC
rnacentral:rRNA from 1 species